rnacentral:lncRNA from 10 species
CCCCGCUCAUCUCAGGAGCCCAGCUGACUUCCCCCAGUGGAUCGUUUUAGGGCUGCAGGCGGAGCUGCCCACCACUCCUAUACUGUGGCGAGGGGCAGGGAGCAUCUGUCGGGGAGCCCAAGGCAGGUCCUUCAGGAGGGAUUCCAGAAGAAGGCAUUGUUAUCAUAGGAGAUGACAGCUCCAUGCCUGUUUGUGCCCGUGAAGACCUCCCAGUGGGACAAGAUGUGGAGGUGGAAGACAAUAAUAUUGAUGAUCCUGACCUGUGUAAAGGUAGCAUCUUCAAGCUGGCUCCUGAAUCCUUUUGAUGUGACUCCAGUCAUCUUUGAUAACCUCCCUGCUCUCUGAUAUGACAAGAUGUUCCAGGCUCAUUUUGUGCAUUUCCUACUCCAGACCUGGAAUCAACCAUUUCUCCAAGAAGCCUUGAUAUCCUUCAGUGGAAAAUCUAGUAGUGUUUCAAUACCAUCACCUAGGUACUAGGAUGCUUGUUGCUACUGGAUUAGUCAUUGUUUUUAAGGCAUUUUUAGUGGAUAGAGCUAGAAAAAUUAUAUGUGAGAUAAAAUAAUUUCGUAUUGACUUUAUAUUUAAAUACAGGGUUACAAAUGUUUCACUUACACUUUUCUAUAUUACAACUGUAUUUUCUUUCUUCCACACCAAGAAUCCUGACUCUAAAGGAUACUGGGGAUGAUACAAUUAGAAUAUACCAUCACUAUUUGUUCAAACCACAUAGUAUACAGAAAAGCAAGCUAAUGCUACCACUACCAGUAUACAUACUAAAAGCGUUUUUUUUUAAUUUUCACAUGUUCUCCCCAUUUUUAAUUGUUGUCCAGUGUCUAUUUGUCAAAACAUAUAUCCAUUACAUACUGUACUCUCUUUCUUUUGAG